rnacentral:lncRNA from 1 species
UCUACAUUAAAAUUACCUCAUAUACCAUCUUCUAUACUUGACACGAUUAUCUGUUAAAUCUCAUUAAUAUUGUGUCUAACAAAGAGAACGAACCCGUACGUGUACACUUCUUUCCCUUACUCAUUUAGGUGGCUAAUUGUAUCUGAGAAGAAAAAAUAAUAAUUUGGGGUAUUUUGUGCCAUAUGUCCUCAAUUGUAUCCAAAAAAAGUCUUGCUUAUUUUAUUUAUUGAAAUCGGUGAGCAGCUGGAACAUUCUGCCAAGAAAAAUAUUGUCACGGGUAUCCCAGGCACGCGCGCCAAAAUGACACCGAAUGGAUGAAGAUGACGAUGUUGAGGGGACUGUGUCUGAUCUGCCCUGUUGCCGUUUUUAAGGGGACACUAAAUUCAAAUAACAAUUUAGGUUGGAAUAAAAGCUUGUAUGACAAUGUCUAGAAUGACAAUAUUAUCAAUAGCAGUGCGCUAUUUACUGAGAAAUAAAUGUAAAUGCUCAAGAACACAUGCACCAGGGGUAGGACAUUCGCAAAAUCAUCCCGAUCAGAUCAGGCUUGUUGCCUACUAUUAAUAACAAAUAAUCAAACUGGCUGCACUAAAUAUAGAACCUUUUGUACAUCAGGAGACGUAAUAAGAUGCUGCUUGUAAUUACCAACGACUUAAUACUUGCCUUUAACAAGCACAACACGUGAUGCCUAAUGACUUGAAAAAGGCUAUGAUGUUUUUGUCAAGCACUUUGUCUUCUUGUGUAUAAUGUGGCGCUCUGAGUAAGACACACGGUAAGGGUGCUUAUGAAGUGGACUGGCGUCGUCAGUGUCGAUACAAUGGGCUACGACACCAGUGCUGUCUAGGGAAUGGUCAUAGAUAUCAAAAAUGUCGAGAUAAGAAAAUAGUACACCACGGAGCGCUUUAACUUGCGACGGCGGCAGGUGGUUUGAUAUCAUUUUGUCCAGGAAUGCUCUAUUUUGCGCGGCUGCGACAGGUUCGGCUACAGUCUUGGCGUCGGAGGUGACAAGGUAUACAUUGCUCCAAACUGGAGAGCCCUGUUAAAGCAAUACCUUGAGGAAGAACCUGGGUCGACGCAGAGAAGUUGAGGACGGGGAGAUGUGUCCUGUUGUCGGCCAUUCUCACUGCAGUAUGACGAAGUGUGAUGUUCUGGGACAAGGUCAGGUCUAUGAGGGAAGCUGCCAGAUAGUCGCCAUCAGGAACAGGUGCAUCGAUACCGGCGGCGUUAUUUUAUUCGUGCCAUGGUAAACGGUCACGAUGCUUGGAAGGAUGCAGGGAUAGUCUUUUUAAAGAACUGGACAACGGUAAUUUAUCUGACGUGGAAGGCGAGUGCGACGAGUCUGGCGGCAGCGAUGACGAGAGGGACGACGCGCUUGGAGCCCCGGCGGAGAGCGAGAGUGAUAGUUCCGAAGUUGAUUCGGAAGAUGUUAGCAUACCAGCAACGGCAAGCGGAUGGGCGAGAAAGCCUUUCAAGGUGCCAGAGACCCAAUUCAAAGGGGGAGCCCACGAAGACUUUGACGUCGUAGGGGACAUACCCUCACCAUUUGGUUAAUUUAGCCGUUAUAUCCCAAAAAGUGUCUUUACUGAGCUGGCUGAGAAAACAAAUCAGUGCUCAGUUUUUUAGUAUGGCACGUGUGUAAACACUGAUGAAGAUGAAAUCAGCCGGAUGGUGGCUCUCCAUCUGAUAAUGGCCGUCCUGAAAUAUCCAAGGUUGCGCUUAUAUUGGAAGCGUGCAAUGACAACUGCUCUUAUCGUAUAAUGUGAGAUCUCGCGCAACCGCUUCGAGAAGCUGCACAACACUCUUUACAUUGUUGAUGUGAACAAGCCCGACAUCAACGACAGACUCUGGAAGGUGAGACCUCUACUCAAGAAUUUUCAAGCAAAGUGCCACGAUCUCGAGGUAGAGGAGCAUCUGUGCAUUGAUGAGCAGAUUGUUCCUUUCAAGGGCCGUUUGGACAUAAAGCAAUACGUGAAGGGCAAGCCUCACCCUUGGGGUGUGAAGGUAUUCAUGCUAUGCGGCGAGUCUGGCCUUAUUUACGAUUUUCUGGUAUACCAGGGCUCUUUUACAGAGCUGAAUGAGAGUAAAAAACAGCAGUAUGGUGUGACAGGAGCAAUUGUUUCGCACCUGUUCGAGCGAAUCCCGCUGUUUGUUGGCCACAAGCCUUUUUUUUUUGAUAAUUACUUUACUUCGUUGCCCAUGCUGUGCGCCCUGCGUCAACGAGAAAUAGUUGCAGCUGGUACUGUACGCAUGAACAGGUGUGAAAAGUACCCACUCAUGAGUGAAAAUCAACUAAAGAAAAGUGGUCGAGGGUCAUCUGACAGUUUGGUCAGCAAAGACUGCAAGAUUGUUGUGACGCAGUGGCUGAACAAACGAGUCAUAAAUAUGGCCUCGAAUUUUGUCGGUGUUGAAAAGGAAGAAACAGCACAGCGCUGGAGCAAGGUGGACAAAUGUUUCAUUGAUGUGAAACGCCCAGCUGUAGUCUGGGUGUACAACCGAAGCACGGGAGGUGUAGAUAAGAUGGACUUCCUUGUUGCCUUGUACAGGACCACAAUUCGGUCAAGAAAGUGGACUCUCAGAAUGAUUUUUCAUUUUUCAAUCUUGCUGUUGUGAACUCUUGGUUAGAGUACAGACAUGAUGCCGACGUGCGAGGAGUCUCAUCGAAUGAACAGCUUGACCUCCUGGACUUCACCCUCAGAAUCAUUGAUGCUCUUGCAAAGAAAAAUAAGAAAUGCAAGAUAAUGAAGCGUGGUAGGCCAUCUUUGUCUCCACUAGAGCCCAGGAAGCAAGUUCGCUACACAGAGAAUAGGCUUAUAGAAGAUGUGAGGUUUGACCAAAUUGGACAUUGGCCAAUUCACACCGACGCUAAGGCGCAGCGGUGUAAAAUGGAAGGAUGCACAGGGAAAGUUCGAGUGUUUUGUGAAAAGUGCAAGGUGCAUCUGUGCUUGACGAAGUCCAGGAAUCGCUUCGAAGACUUUCACACAAAGAAAUAAUCAAUUUUGUGCUUAGUUUUUGUUGUGAGAGCCGCAUGAAAUAAAGUGAACAUUUUUUUCAUUCCUACAA